GACGAACGCUGGCGGCGUGCCUAAUACAUGCAAGUUGAGCGCUGAAGGUUGGUACUUGUACCAACUGGAUGAGCAGCGAACGGGUGAGUAACGCGUGGGGAAUCUGCCUUUGAGCGGGGGACAACAUUUGGAAACGAAUGCUAAUACCGCAUAAAAACUUUAAACACAAGUUUUAAGUUUGAAAGAUGCAAUUGCAUCACUCAAAGAUGAUCCCGCGUUGUAUUAGCUAGUUGGUGAGGUAAAGGCUCACCAAGGCGAUGAUACAUAGCCGACCUGAGAGGGUGAUCGGCCACAUUGGGACUGAGACACGGCCCAAACUCCUACGGGAGGCAGCAGUAGGGAAUCUUCGGCAAUGGACGAAAGUCUGACCGAGCAACGCCGCGUGAGUGAAGAAAGUUUUCGGAUCGUAAAACUCUGUUGGUAGAGAAGAACGUUGGUGAGAGUGGAAAGCUCAUCAAGUGACGGUAACUACCCAGAAAGGGACGGCUAACUACGUG
rnacentral:rRNA from 1 species